AAGAGCAACACCGCAGCCUGCAGACAGGCGCUGAAGAUACCAAAGGGUAGUUCAGAUUACACGGUCACCUGGAAAGGGGGCCAUUUUACUUUUU
rfam:Shigella dysenteriae Sd197, complete genome.